rnacentral:rRNA from 1 species
UACGGGGGGGGCAAGCGUUGUUCGGAAUUACUGGGCGUAAAGGGCUCGUAGGCGGCCAACUAAGUCCGACGUGAAAUCCCCAAGCUUAACUUGGGAACUGCGUCGGAUACUGGAUGGCUUGAAUUCGGGAGAGGGAUGCAGAAUUCCAGGUGUAGCGGUGAAAUGCGUAGAUAUCUGGAGGAAUACCGGUGGCGAAGGCGGCUCUCUGGACCACAACUGACGCUGAGGCGCGAAAGCUAGGGGAGCAAACAGG